rfam:Rattus norvegicus chromosome 4, whole genome shotgun sequence.
GGGGAUUUAGCUCAGUGGUAGAGCACUUGCCUAGCAAGUUCAAGGCCCUGGGUUCGGUCCCCAGCUCCU